rnacentral:lncRNA from 1 species
AAGUUACCCCUUUAUAGUAAAGAACGGAGAGGUUACAGAGCUGCCCAGAUUUUGUGGUCUCACCUCCACUAGUUAAGACUGAAGGUCUUAAUGUCACAGUUCAAUCAAAUGCUUUAUAGUUGGGAGCAAAGAUGAGCUUGGUUUGAAUGUGAACUGUUGAAGUUGGGCAGUGGUGGUUUAGUGAAUCAGGGAGAUAGAACCUUUGGUGUCAGAACUUGAAAGGUCAGGAAGGAGAGGAGAGCACACUGGAAAUACUCUCCCUCAAUAGCAGCUUGCCCUUCCUUUCCUUCUUCUGAAAUCAGGUUUUGAAAAUUAUCUCAGUACUAUGCCCUCUCUUCUCUUCACUCCUAGAUGUUAGAAACAUUAAAUCAUCACUUCUGAGACAUGUGUUCUCCAAUCCCCCCAUGCACUGGUACCUUCUGGCAUUUCUCCGAGACUCUUUGCCAGGAUGUGUUCUAAGAAAGCAACUGAAUGCCCUCCCUUCCAGUAAUUGUCCUAAGCCUUGUUAAUGGAGGUGUUUGGGGCAGGAGGACAUUUCAUACGCUGUCUGAAUCACAGAGCUUGCAGACUGCUUGCUUCCAUGGAAAGGGUUUAGUCAGAGCAAGAAAUUCCAUGGAGAGUGGGAAUCACAGUAAGAACUGAAGAGAGUUGAAGCAUGGCCCCUCUGGUGGAUUCUUUACCACUGAGCCACCGGGGAAGCCCCCAAGAUGGCUAGCAUUCAUCAAUUUCUUCCUUCCAUGUAUGUAGAACCUAUCUCCCUGUUGAGAGAUGGAGUCUAUUCUUCUGCCCCCUUGAAUCUGGGUGGGCUGGUGAUGUUUAAGAAAUAGAAUACUAUGAAAAUGAUGCCUUGCAGCUUAUACCCGAGUCUCUUGAAACACUAGCUCUGGGAGAAGCCAGCACCUGUGAAAGUCCAGCUACUUCAAGACCACCAUGCUGUGAGGAAGCAUAAUCUAGCCAUAUGGAGAGAUGCCGUGCCAGCCCCAAGCUACUCCAGACAUUCCAGACCAGACACCACAGAGCUGCAUGAAGAAGCCUUCAGAUGAAGUUGGCCUUGGCUUUAGACUAGCUGCAGGAUUCUAGAGACCUCAAGUGAGAACCACCCAGCUGAUCCUAUCAACCUCCACAGCCAUGAGCAGUAAUAAUAAAUUAUUGUUUUACUUUGCUAAGUUACGGGGU